GACGAACGCUGGCGGCGUGCUUAACACAUGCAAGUCGAACGGAAAGGCCCUGCUUUUGUGGGGUGCUCGAGUGGCGAACGGGUGAGUAACACGUGAGUAACCUGCCCUUGACUUUGGUAUAACUUCAGGAAACUGGGGCUAAUACCGGAUAGGAGCUCCUGCUGCAUGGUGGGGGUUGGAAAGUUUCGGCGGUUGGGGAUGGACUCGCGGCUUAUCAGCUUGUUGGUGGGGUAGUGGCUUACCAAGGCUUUGACGGGUAGCCGGCCUGAGAGGGUGACCGGCCACAUUGGGACUGAGAUACGGCCCAGACUCCUACGGGAGGCAGCAGGGGGGAAUAUUGCACAAUGGGCGGAAGCCUGAUGCAGCAACGCCGCGUGCGGGAUGACGGCCUUCGGGUUGUAAACCGCUUUCGCCUGUGACGAAGCGUGAGUGACGGUAAUGGGUAAAGAAGCACCGGCUAACUACGUG
rnacentral:rRNA from 1 species